rnacentral:rRNA from 1 species
GACGAACGCUGGCGGCGCGCUUAACACAUGCAAGUCGAGCGAGAACCUGGGCUUCGGCCCUGGGGACAGCGGCGAACGGGUGAGUAACACGUGGGUAAUCUGCCCUUGACAUCGGGAUAGCCCGGGGAAACCCGGAUUAAUACCGAAUAGCCUCCGGAGCCUUCGGGCGCCGGAGAAAAGGUAGCUUCGGCCUCUGGUCAAGGAUGAGCCCGCGGCGGAUUAGCUUGUUGGCGGGGUAACGGCCCACCAAGGCGACGAUCCGUAGCUGGUCUGAGAGGACGAUCAGCCACACUGGGACUGGGACACGGCCCAGACUCCUACGGGAGGCAGCAGUGGGGAAUCUUGCGCCAAUGCGGGAAACCGUGACGCAGCGACGCCGCGUGGGGGAAGAAGGCCUUCGGGUUGUAAACCUCUUUCAGGAAGGACGAAGCCACUCGGGUUAAUAGCCCAGAGGGUGACGGUACCUCCAGAAGAAGCCCCGGCUAACUACGUGCCAGCCGCCGCAGUAACAC